GUUGACAUCCAGAGAACUUAGCAGAGAUGCUUUGGUGCCUUCGGGAACUCUGAGACAGGUGCUGCAUGGCUGUCGUCAGCUCGUGUUGUGAAAUGUUGGGUUAAGUCCGCAACGAGCGCAACCCUUAUCCUUUGUUGCCAGCGGUUCGGCCGGGAAACUCAAAGGAGACUGCCGGUGAUAAACCGGAGGAAGGUGGGGAUGACGUCAAGUCAUCAUGGCCCUUACGGCCAGGGCUACACACGUGCUACAAUGGCGCAUACAAAGAGAAGCGACCUCGCGAGAGCAAGCGGACCUCAUAAAGUGCGUCGUAGUCCGGAAAUUGGAGUCUGCAACUCGACUCCAUGAAGUCGGAAUCGCUAGUAAUCGUAGAUCAGAAUGCUACGGUGAAUACGUUCCCGGGCCUUGUACACACCGCCCGUCACACCAUGGGAGUGGGUUGCAAAAGAAGUAGGUAGCUUAACCUUCGGGGGGGCGCUUACCACUUUGUGAUUCAUGACUGGGGUGAAGUCGUAACAAGGUAAGCGUAGCGAG
rnacentral:rRNA from 1 species